rnacentral:rRNA from 1 species
UACGAAGGGAGCUAGCGUUGUUCGGAAUUACUGGGCGUAAAGGGCGCGUAGGCGGCUUUUCAAGUCAGAUGUGAAAGCCCUGGGCUUAACCUAGGAGGUGCAUAUGAUACUGAAGAGCUAGAGGAUGAGAGAGGAGAGUGGAAUUGCGAGUGUAGAGGUGAAAUUCGUAGAUAUUUGCAAGAACACCAGUGGCGAAGGCGUCUCUCUGGUUCAUUACUGACGCUAAAGCGCGAAAGCGUGGGGAGCAAACAGG